ensembl:snRNA U7 U7 small nuclear RNA
AGGUGUUACGGCUAUUUUAGAAUUUCUCUAGCAGGGUUUCUGGUUUUCAUGGGGAAAAAAAUCCCAU